rnacentral:pre_miRNA from 1 species
AGUGGGAUAGCUGGGUCAAAUGGUGGUUCCAUUCCCAGUUUUCUGAGGAAUCUGCAUACUGCUUUCCAGAGUGGUAGCACCAAUUUGUAGUCCUACCAGCAAU